rnacentral:rRNA from 1 species
UACGUAGGGGGCAAGCGUUGUCCGGAAUCAUUGGGCGUAAAGCGCGCGUAGGCGGCCAGAUAAGUCCGGUGUGAAAGUCACAGGCUCAACCUGUGAAUGCCGCUGGAAACUGUCUGGCUUGAGUCCGGAAGGGGCGAGUGGAAUUCCUGGUGUAGCGGUGAAAUGCGCAGAUAUCAGGAGGAACACCAAUGGCGAAGGCAGCUCGCUGGAACGGUACUGACGCUGAGACGCGAAAGCGUGGGGAGCGAACAGG